ACGUAGGGUGCAAGCGUUAAUCGGAAUUACUGGGCGUAAAGCGUGCGCAGGCGGAUAUGUAAGUUAGAAGUGAAAUCCCCGGGCUCAACCUGGGAACUGCUUUUAAGACUGCGUAUCUAGAGUUUGUCAGAGGGGGGUGGAAUUCCAAGUGUAGCAGUGAAAUGCGUAGAGAUUUGGAGGAACACCGAUGGCGAAGGCAGCCCCCUGGGAUAAAACUGACGCUCAUGCACGAAAGCGUGGGUAGCAAACAGG
rnacentral:rRNA from 1 species